GAAAUAAGCACAUCUUGGACGACGACUGUGAGCAUCUUCAACUGCUACUAAGUUAGCCUGUAUCUGUGAUAAUUCCUUUUUUGACGUUGCAGCUUCCUUCUUGGCUCUUAGUGUUUGCCUAAUGCGUCUACGUUUGGCUUUUGUAGCCUUUGGAGAUAGAAUGUACUCAGACUCCAAAAUACUCAUUACAGAGGAAGAAGAGAUGCUUAUGCCCUCAUGCUUUUUUAGAAGCUCUGUAUAGUGUUCAAAGUUAGCCUCGUAGUAUUUAGUUCUGUAUAGAUCAAGAACCUGACUUCUGAUAUCAGGGUGGAUGGUGGUAACCGGCUUCUUACCUCUGUUACCAUGAAUAAAGAAUGCUUUACCAUCUUUAAUAUAGCCUUGUAUCAUACGGUUUAUAUGCCUCUUGGUGCAUCCUAGGAUAAGAGCAGCUCUAUCCUUAUUAGCUGUAUCUGGGUGAUCUACCAGACCUUUAAUAACCUCGUACUUUCUUUGUUCAUCCAUUGAUAAAAUAACCUUUCUGAUAAGUCAGUCCCUCCUAGUGUUAGAAUAUACAAAAUAGUAUUCUACCAUAAGUGGGACAUUUUUAUUUGUGGUAUAAUGGGACUUUAUCAUAUAUGGCUUAUAUUUUUUGAGUUUUUUUGAAAAAGUCGCUUGACUUUUGAGAUAUGAAAAAGUAUAAUUAGUACACUGCUUUUGCAGGGAACUUAAUUCGAACAUCAUAAUAACUUAAAAAUAAUUUAAAUUGUUGUUGACAAGAUGUUGAAUUGAUGGUAUUAUAUCUGAGUUGCUUGAAAAGAGCAAAAAGAGCUCUAAAUAAUCUGAAAAAACUUUUAAAAAGUUAUUGACAAGAUAAAAUGAGCUUGAUAUAAUAGCUAAGCUGUUUCAAACAGCAAAGCAAACGAACCUUGAUAAUUUAAGAUUAAACAGUACACACAACCCUGAAAAU
rnacentral:rRNA from 1 species